rnacentral:rRNA from 1 species
AUUGAACGCUGGCGGCAGGCCUAACACAUGCAAGUCGAACGGUAACAGGAAGCAGCUUGCUGCUUCGCUGACGAGUGGCGGACGGGUGAGUAAUGUCUGGGAAACUGCCUGAUGGAGGGGGAUAACUACUGGAAACGGUAGCUAAUACCGCAUAACGUCGCAAGACCAAAGAGGGGGACCUUAGGGCCUCUUGCCAUCGGAUGUGCCCAGAUGGGAUUAGCUAGUAGGUGGGGUAACGGCUCACCUAGGCGACGAUCCCUGGCUGGUCUGAGAGGAUGACCAGCCACACUGGAACUGAGACACGGUCCAGACUCCUACGGGAGGCAGCAGUGGGGAAUAUUGCACAAUGGGCGCAAGCCUGAUGCAGCCAUGCCGCGUGUAUGAAGAAGGCCUUCGGGUUGUAAAGUACUUUCAGCGGGGAGGAAGGGAGUAAAGUUAAUACCUUUGCUCAUUGACGUUACCCGCAGAAGAAGCACCGGCUAACUCCGUG